CGUCUCCCCCCUAUCCGCCUCCCUUCCUCUCCCCUUGCCAGAGAUCUGCCUCCCUCCCCUUCCUCCCUCCUCGAGCGUGACGACUAGGGUUCCUCACCGCCGCCGUUCCUCUGCGGCGCGCCCAGCCGGCCGAGGCCCCCGCCGCUCCACCGCCCACACCGACCCGACCGCCCCUCCUCCUUGAAUCCUUCCUGCCGCGCCGCCCCUGCUCGACUCCUCCCCGCACGGGCCGACCUCCUUCAGUGUCGUGCAGCAAGACACGCCCAACAACAGUACUCGACCGGCCGCCCGCUUGCCCGACCCUCUCUUCCCUCCGCCCGGCAGCAGGAGGCGCCCGCCCGCCCGGCCCUCCCUUCCAUUCGCUGAUACCUCAUCUAAGGCCUACUGAGUACAAAAAAUCAAGAUUAUCCAGGAACAGGAGAAUAGUGAACCGUCCUUAUCAUGGUGUUCUAUCUGGUCAGGCUGUUAGGGAGAGGAUCAUCCAUGCUUUCCUUGUCGAAGAGAAAAAGAUUGUGAAGAAAGUUUUGAAGAUCCAGAAGACCAAGGAGAAGCAACUAUCAGGUGCUUACACUUCUUGGUGUUGCUGAAUUGGUGUUGAAUUGGUGUUGGCAGUAAUAAGACGACUGUGCGCGUGUGUUUGACAACAUUCAUCAAUGAAGAUAAAAAGAAAAAAGAAAGGCAUUGGUUGCUGAAACAGAGCAUCUCCUCCUCUGCUUUUGCUGGACUGCAAGCUACAUAUGCUCUGUUUCAUCAAGUAACGUUCACAUAUGCGCUUCAGUUGUUCUUGAGUGAAGCUUUGCUUUGGCUGGAGAUGAUAUAUAAUGUUAUGAUACCCCUUUCUCCUGAAAUGUUGAUUAAUUUCCGUUUCGGUUAAGAAUGGGGCACUCCUAGGUCAAGAAAAUUAGCAAAGGUCAUGCCAAAUUUUCUUGACCUAGAAGGUGCCCGAUUCUCAACCGAAACAAAAAAUAAUCAACAUUUAUAGACAAUGUUAUUUCUACAAAGCAAAUAUUUCUAAGUGGCUUUUAUAGUUUUCCCUUAAGUUGAAACCAGAGAGUUGAUUACUAAUAUAGGAUAAAACUGUGAACAAUGAAGUAAAUAAAAAUCCACCUGCAAAAAAAAGAAGUAAAUAAAAAUCCAAAUCAACACAAUGCCUCUUGUGUUAUACAUAUAGAAGUGUGAUAUCAACUCAUAGUUAUUACUAAUGUCAGUUGCUCUCUUUUUGUGCCUUUUUACAACAUGAGCAAUGCAUAGUUAUUACUAAUGGUAUAAUCUAUACCUAUAUGGAGUGUGUACUAUUAGUGUAAAUUCUUCCUUGGUUAAUGAU